CAUGUGCGACGCAAAACGCUUACACUUACCGACAAAUAUCACCGCCAAAGUUCGUGCUAGUCAAUUUCCAGAUGUGUUACAUGACAGCGGAGGUAAACUCUUCUGUACUGCCUGCAAUAUUGUGGUGGAACAAAUGCGAAAAUUGUCGCACGACAGACACUUUUAAUGCAAAACAUACGAGGAGAACAGCUGAAACUCAAAGAGGACAGAGGAAGCAAGUCACAAUGACAGAGGCUGAUGCAUCCAGAACUAUAGCAGGAGCUGAAUGUGUCAAGGUAUGCGCAGAUGUACUCUUUCAAGCAAUAUAAGUCAAGAAUAAAAAUCUUGUGGAUGCAUGCUCUUAUUGUGUAUCAUCUUGUGUUUGUGUGUGCGCGCGCGCACGCGUGUGUGCGAUGUGUGUGUAAAUGUGAGUGAGGGAGUGCGGCACGAGUAUGUGUGAAAAAGUUAACAACCAAACAAAAAAAAGCUCACAAAUGAAAAUAGUAAUUCUACUUGGUGCUUACAUUUGUGUUUUCUCUAAAUUAUAAGAUAGACUACAACCCAAGUUUGGCUGCCCUGUGUGCUGGUCUCUGUGUGGUUGUGAGUCUGUGUGUGCACCUGUCUGUCUCUGUGUGGCUGUCUGUGCUUCAGGUAUUUCUCAGAGAUGCAGAGCACUCUGUGUGGAAAAUAUCACACAUUAAUCUAUGGUUUAAGGCUAAAAACUCACAAAAGACUGUUGUAGCUAAUUUGCAAUUGCCCUUGUUCCUGUGAUUUUAGUAAAAGAAGCCUCAAAUGAUCGCAAUCUUCACCACACUUUUUAGAAAAGCUGCCACAAAAUCAGGCAUUUUAGGCCGCAACAAUCACAAAAAAGCCUGUGAAAUCCUGGGACUGGGAUUUGUGUUUUUUGGGGGGGUUUGUCCAAGCUGCUGUCUCUGCUUCUUGGACAGUAAAUAAAUCAGACCUUCACCUUUUUCAUCCUAAAUAUAUCGCGGCCAAUAAGGGCAGACGCUCUGCACCAGGAGAAAUGUACUGCGAAUGCAGAAAAAAGACGACUUUCUUUAUUUGCAGUUUCUAUUUGCUUUUGUGUGGUUUUCUGCUCCAUAUCAGUUGUGUGCUUAUUUCCAGUACUUUUGCUUUUCAUGCAGUUGUUUUGCUGUUUGUUACAAGUUUUCAAGUUUGUGUUGCGUUUCCACCAUUUAGUUUGUUUUGGACUGUUGCAUGUAUCUUUUGAAGUUUCUGUAUUUGCAGUGUGUCUCCCUUGGUCUCCUCCAGGCUGUUGCGGAUCAUUUGCCCAUUUGACAAUAUUGUUUUUGUAAAAAAUCCCACACACUGCACUUGCUCAGGGCAGGGAGAGGAGCAGGAGGAGACAGGUGUGGAUCUUUGUGAGUCUGAAAAGCCAAGGGACAGAAAAAGCUUAAGGAGAGAGAGGAUAUAGAGAUCAUGAGCGCUCACAACUGCUGGGCUGAUAAGCGAGAGACAUCGCUCUGAAUUUUGAUAAAAUACAAGCUUAAGUCUGGAUGUUUUAAAGGAUGUUAUAUAAUAGCUGAAAAAGACUGAAUGAUUUGAUGGAUCUGCAGUCUGUGUUAAAACUUAAGCGGUAAAAGAGUUUAAAUCCAUAUGUUUUUAAGAGCUUAUUAAGUUGCCAAAACACAUUCAUUCAUUUAUUUUAUUAUUGCGUCAUGUACAGAAAGUGCCCAGCCUGCGUGGGCCUACAAGACACCAAAGAAAGGACAUAUAAUAGCAACAAGAUGACGGACAGAUAACAGACAUAACAAAUUAAGCAUAUAAGCACUCCUGACAUUUUUUCCAGGCUUUAGAGACAAAAUAAGCUAAUUUAAAGACAUUAAAGUUGAACAGCCAGUUCAUUCUUUCAUGCAGAUGUGAUGCAGAUGUCAACUUGUGGGUAAGAAUUAGUGAUAGCGAUAUCAGUAUCACCCAAAAUAAUCUUGAUUAUGAUUUUUGUCAUAAGCAGUGAACCCAGUAUGCCAUUUUUGUUAAUGCAAGCAGAUAACAUCUUUAAAAUUUUCAUUUGUACAGAGUGACAGAGGUUUCAGUCAGACUCUCCUCAUUUAAAGGAAAGAGAUGUUGAAGAUGUUGAAGGCAGACGAUGUUGAUGUUACUCUUCACACUCCCUCCUGACAGCGUCUGCUCUGUCAAACUUGGUCACACAUGACAUUUAUAUGCUGCAGAGUUCACUGAUGUGGUGCAAAUGAAAAAGUUGUAGUGUGUGAAAAGACUGAAGCUUUUUUUCUCUUCAUCUGUCAGACUUCUCGGCUAUCUUGUCCUGGUAAAAGAAAUCCUUCUCACCUCCUGUUUGGCUCCAGCACAGAGGAGAGCAGGGUUAACACACUUUCUAAAAUAUUUUCUUCACACUUUUCCUGUUCGGUCUUCACAACUGUACAGAAAUAAAGUAGCCGUAUAUUUGAGUAACCUCUUGGCUCUUCUGCGACGAACGCACAACAAACUCUCUGACUUUGCAGGACAGCUGUAUUGCUGUGCUUGGCAGCUACAAAUGUGAGUUUGAUGGGAAAAGCCGGUUCUCCAUCCUUUGUGGAGGCUUGUUUUUCAGCAGGGUGUUGGUUUUCAGCCUCUUUCAGCUCAGUCACGGGGGAUUUAACAGCAUCGAAACCCAGCACCUCACCUGGGAUAAAGAGCUGAGAGGAUGAAAACUCUCCAGCCUGCAGGGAAACAGGGUGUUAGUGCUGUGGCUGCUGCUCUUGGUGGUCCGUGUGGGUGUGCAUGCAUUUAUUCAAGCAGAGGAAAUGUUCACUGAAAUGAAAGUGUCUUCUUGGUGUGAGAUAUAAAACUGAGAGUAUUAUUUUUCAGCAUGAAAUACAGGUUUGGACUGAAAAUCGCAGCCAGACUAACAGCAGGAUCAAUACCAGUGAAAUAUGUGGGGUUAUAUGAGGCAUCAGUGACCAACCAAUCAGCUGUUUGUUAAUGCCAGUGUGGGAAUUUUAUGAUUCACAUUAGUAAGGAGUAUUAUAUUUAUUAUAUUCAUCCUAACAUAGUAAAAAAGGGCCAACUAGAAGUCCUCUAACAGAUAGGGAUACCUUUAAAACGCUGCACAAAGUAAACAUGGUGAUCUUAAGUAGCUCUCUAAGCAUUUCUAAGAUCUUAAAUAAACACAAACAUUUCUAAGUUAUGGUUUUUACAUGACCAAAUAACUGUCAACACAAAGCAAACACAAAUGUCCCAAAUAUGUUAGCACUGUUUGCAUGUUUGAUCAUUAAGAGUUUGAGAAAAAGUCCAAAACUCUGUGAUGAUUCUAGUUUAACAAAAUCAGUCAGUCAGUCAGCGUAGAGAUCAAAUGCUAAGAAUUAGGUAUCUUUCUUAAAAAAUCAAUAACUCUGAAGGCUUUGGAGCAGGCAAAAAAGAGACCAAGUUCACAACCCCUACCUGUAGAAGAUGCUGAAACAAAGUCACAGGGUCACUAAAAUCCCAGAGAUUCAUCCUGUUUGUUCCUUGAAUGUCUGGACCAAAUUUAAUGUCUUUAUGUCCAAUAAUUUCUCUUUUUUGCAAAUAGUAGCUGCCGUGUCUUUGAUCCCAAUAACAGCCCAUCUUCUGCAGUGGAAGAUUGUGACACAAUGAAAAAUAAGCCACAUUUUCCUGUUUGAGCAGUGUGUAAUUUUACUGUCAGGUACCUCACUUUGGUUACACUGAUUGCACGUUUUAGUGAAACCAGCUGAAACGCUGAGCAGUGAAUGGAUGUCUUUGUGUGAGCAGAGGGCGGUCAGAUAGAGUCUGGGAGAAAGAGCCAUUGUGCUGGUUUGACUGUUAACGUAAAGGGCCUUUCGACUGUCAAAGAUGCUGUAUGUGCACGUGCUUAAACCCUCACCUUAAACCAGUCAUUCGGGGCUUCUUUAGCUAGUUGACAAACACACACACUCCUGAACAUCUCUGAGCAUACAUCGUCUGUAUGUUCACGUCUUUCAUUCAUCUCCUGAAAGCAACAGCAGCAGUUCCACAGAGGACACCUCUCCUAACACGUUAGUCACAACAACCGCCGGCAGUCCAAACCACAAGCUGAAACACAGAGCGCUGACUCACACUCUGAACACACUCACAAUGCGUUAUUCAGCCUGUCAUUGUGGUGUGCAGAUUGUAGUCAUGAGAAUUAUCCUUUACUCCAUUACUUUCACAUCAGCCGCUGUGUUUGGUGUCACAUCUUCUAUCCCCGAGCUGUACAUUAUAUUUGUGCUUGCAUUUCGCUCACAUGACCUGACGCGAAAAGCUCUUGCUCUCAUGGUGACUUCAUUCACGCUUGGUGUUGUGAAACAGAGGUUAAGUGCGUGACCUGCUCCAGCUUGUCUGCACUUUGCAACAAAAAGGGUGUCGACCUGCAGGUUAGUGUUACUGCCUGCAGGAACUCUUUUGUUCCACUUCUACAGUCAUUAUUCUUCGGAAUAGCCCGCUUAGCACGAGGAGCUAGCUGCUUGUGAGGACUCAUCUGUGUGAUGCAUUGGCUCAGUGCGUUUACAUACACAGUCAGGUUGAGCUGAGAUUAUGGUUUGUUUGGGCAAUUUAACUGGACUACUUUUCCAUCUGCACUAUGAUAGGUGGCGAUAUGAACCCUUUUAACUUGUUACUAUUGGACCUUCUUCUCGCUGAUGUAGUACAUACAACAGACGCAUUAGUAACUGGCUACUGCUUGUCAAACAAACAACAACAACAACAAAAAUAAAAAAACACAAUUUGACAGCUUUAGUGUGACACAGCAGCUUUGACCAGCUAUUUGUGAAACCGUCAACUUUGUCUCAAUUGGCUUUGAACACAAGUGUGGUGACAAUUUUCUGGAAUCCAUUUUACGGUGAACUUCAUGCUCUCUUUUAUAUCGCUACUAAUGCUGAUCCAGAGGAACCUAGGGUAUGAGGGGGCUCAGGGUCUCCCAGAGAAGACUCUGUAUUAGCGACAGUAACAGGUGACUGAAGCAGCCUGCUAAGCUUGACUUGGAUCUCACGUUUUGUCCUUUGUCCUCUAAUUUACUCGCAUGUUCAAAGAAAAUGUUUUGGUUGCAUGACUUGAUGAAUAUUCAAUUUUUUUGGCUUAAAAACACAGAAUUAGACUGGUGAAGGCAGAAAGAUAGGAGCAGCCAUGAAGAUCACUGUAUAUGUAAUAGGGCUGGUCAAGAAAAUGAAAAUUUAUGGAUACCGAAAUUUUAGACAAUAAUCAAAAUCAUUUUGCCCAUGUUGGUAUAUUCGGUGUCAAAAAACAAAUGAAUAAAAGUUGGUUUGAAUGUGUGUAGGUAGGCUUUGGUUGCAUGUCCCUUUAAGAUGCUGUCCUAAGUCAGAGAUGUGACUCCACCCCAUCCAGUCCCUAACAAAGGGGAAAAGACAGGUGAGGAGAUGGAGGACGGUUCAAAAGUUGUAGUGGCUGGAGCGGCGGCUGAAGUAGACAAAGUUAAUGUGGAAGGGGGUGAGCAGUUUGUGGAGUAGUUAUCAUCCAUUUAUCGUUAUCGAGGUGAACUGCUAAAUAUAUUGUGAUAUUGAUUUGAGACGAUAUCACCCAGCUCUAUUAUGUACUCACACAUCGAAUAUAAUAGUAAAAUCUGAGCAUAAAAUUUUGAUUUUGAUCUGAAACUUACCAAUAAUAAAAAAUAACAUUUAAAUGGGAUUGUGGAUAAAGACUGACAGCUAUAGUUUGCAGUGUGUGAAAGUUUCAUUCUUCUUACUGUGUGCAAAUCCAUGAACCAGAGCAUUCAGACUAUUCAGAUGUUUUUGUUGUCAAGACAACACCUCAUAAACAUAAUAUUUCCCUGGAAUGAAAAGCAUUUAUGAAGUUUAGUAUUUCCAUAUCUUUGUGCCAGAGACAUAUCAGUAAGUGGGUAAAGACAUCCGACAACGUGUUGGCGCUGGAAUUUCCACUUAACAUUCCAGUGAUAGCGAAACACAAAACAACCCCCAAACACACACCUUUUCCUGUGUCCAGGUAGGGUAUGUAUAUGUGAGAGUGUGUGAGUGUGUGUUGGUACCAGGAGCACGCUCAGACCUGCAGCUCAGACAAUCUGACCGUCAACCUCAAAACGGAUCCCAACACGUCCUGAAGCCUGCCCCAGUGUGCUAACCCUGACUGCAUCCCUCACACAUGCACAAACACACACACACAGACAAACACAAUGUUUUGUCCUCAACAAGGCAGCAGAUAAAAGUCUCAAUUCAUCUCAGAGAGGCUGACAAAAAGGAGACUGUAAAGCAGAGAAGUGACCUCAUUCCUGUUUAUCUAAACUCUGUGUAGGUGUGUGUGUCUGUAAGUGUGUUUGUGUGUCUGUGUGGCAGAAAGGUGAGUUAACAAAAGCAGUUCAGGUAGGAGAGGUGGAGUGCUGUGAGGUGUGGUGUAACUUGCUGGAAGCUGUCAUGCUGCAUCACACGUACGGCUGAAGUUAAGUCUCAAACUAAAGCAAGUGAACGUCUUUAACUUGUUUUUAAAAAUGCAUAAUCUGGGCUCAAGAUUUUAACCUCUUAAUGAGACACUUUCAUUCCGCUGCAUGCCUCUUAUCCGCUCCUCCGCUUGCAGCUUUGUGUCAUUUUGGCAAAGCUGUCUGAAUCAUUUAAAAUGCAUGACCUGAUCGGUGACAUCUAGACCUGCAGCUACAGACAGACUCUGAGGUUAACUUAAGUUUGAGGGAGCCCAGAGGGCGGGGGAUCGACUCUGAUUGACCCCCGACCACGGCCGUGCAUGAACAUUCUGGGGGCAGGGCUGAAACAGUAAAAAGGGAACAACUCCACCUUUAGAUGUUCUUUUCCCACUGAAAAGUUUCCACAUACAGAUGUCACUCAGCCAAACUCACUCCCAUGAUGAAACCUUAAAUUUGACAUGUUAAAUAAAAUCUGGCGGUUACGUUGUUGAGACCUGUUCAGACACAUUCGAUGAAUCUUCUUUCCAGGCAGAAAUGUAGAGAGAAAGAAACUGAGUGACAACCUAAGAGGUUUCUAAUUUGUGCAGGUCCGAUUUUUACAACCAGCCAUAAAAAUGUCAGCAUCUGAUAGAUUUUUACUCCUUUUCUGCUGUUUUGUGGCCUGAAUAACAUUCCAGGUCGAUAGUUUUAGUGAAACUGUCUCUCACCUCAGCACCAGCAUGAUGCCAAAAAGCCUACUGACAGAUCCACUGAUCUGAAUGGCAAGCACACCUUUCUGAGCCACACCUGGUUGUGGUACGUUUUAAUUUAGACCACAAAAAUCUCAAACCAGUGUGACAUCUAUAAGAUAAUUUAUUCUUAUGUGAAGGAUGACAGAUCUCUCUAGCCUAGUUUGAGAAUACCUGUAUGUACUGUAAUUGGUUUCGUAUGCAGAGUAACUCACUGUAAAUCCUGAUGUUUGUUUGUUUGCAUCAGGCUAAACAUGUAGCAGUUGCAAGACUUGGUGCAUGCAUGCAGACUUAGAUGCAGAAUCUAUUUCAUCAAACGACCUGCUAUCAGCACAAGUACACCUGAAACUAAAUAUAGCCUAGCUUUAUGCUGCUGAUAUGUUGCAUCAAUACAGCCACAACAUUCACAAAAAAUACAGCCAAACUAGGAUGCUAUUUGCACACUUGCUGAGUGUUUGUCUGAUUUUAGCUAAUUCAGGAGUCUGUGAUUAAUUCUUUGUCUAAUGACUUGAUGGAUCUGAUUAGAUCUGAUAAAUGUUAUGUAAUUUAAUCACACAUCCCGUCCAUCGAGUCUCUUCACUUAAAGUCUGGCUUUGAUUUUUUAAAGUUUAAAGUAUUCUCAGUUGUGGUUGUGAUUAUGAAGUUUUUUUGUCAUCUUAAAGGACUUUUCUUCUGUAGAGCUUCAGUAGCUCAUUAGCAAUUCACCUCUGAGUCAUGGGUGGAGACAGCGCGGCUCUGCACACUCCUUGUAGCCUAACAUUGCCGGUGCAACAGAAGUGGCAGGUAACAUAGGAGCUUUUCAGCCCUCGAACACAAAUGUCUUUGGUGACAUGAUGAAAGCUAAUAUCAUAAUAGCUUUCUUACGUGCAUUGCAAUCCGCUAACACUCAUGCUUAUUCUACGAUCGUCCUUUCUACUUCACUGAGACUGUCCUGCAGAGUGGAUGGAGCUUGCGGUUGUGACGUCGUAAAAUCCCACUGUGUCUGAGCCUGCCAUUUGGGUCUGUGAGAAGUUCACAGCGAUUUAAAAGCAGAAAUACUCAGAAAUGUAAUUUUGCACUAACUUGUCUCUUGACAUUACCUCUAGCAUCAGAACAAUGCCAUAUGAACAUGUAGACAACAAGAAAAAAAUGAUUUAUUAAUUAAUGCCUGAAAAUUACCUUCUGUUAUCAGAGUCCUCUGGAUAAAAAUGUUACCCUGACUUUGUUCAGACUUUUCUUAUGUAAAAGUCAUUGUGAAGUCAACGUGAACAAAUGAAUGAAUGAACACGGUGGUAAAUCUCUGGAUAAUUGAAGGCAAGAUGGUGGAUGGAUGAAUUACACUGUUCAUGUUGAACAGGAGAGUUUCUCACUUUUCGCUGUUUGCCUUUUAGUACUCUGUUUUUUGGCAUUUUGGCAAAUUGUCCAGAGGUCACGUGUUUAAGAGGCUGAGGUGGUUGCACCAAAAAUGUCUGUUGACCUGCUUUAAGCUGCGGUUUGUCUAACAGCCACACAAUGCUAAUCCCAUGCAAACACUGACCGACCCAGAGUCUGUUCAUGAAGUCAGGUUUGCUUUCAUUUCAUCUGAUAAUGUCAGGGUUAGUGCUGCAGUUAUUGCUCAUGUAUUUCUGCAUUUUUCAAGCACAUAGGCCACCACAGGCCUUGUGUUUCUGACAUGUUUUUUCUUUCCCUCUCUUUCAGGUCUUCUCUCUUUCACUGCUGCAGGAUUUGGACCACGAGGACCAGAACAGUUUUCUAAUGAUGGCCUGUGCACGGAGAAGAGACUAGAUGUCCUUAUUUCUUUGGAAACUGACCAGCAACCUCCCUGAAUACUCCUCAGGAGUUCCUUUUCCUGGGACCUCAGUCACUUCUAUAUACUGGAAUUAAAAAUUUUACAUCAUUUUGAAUACAGCUGUGCCUGUUCAGCUUAAACGGACCACUGACCUGCACUUUGAGGAAUUGCUCUCUGAACAUUUUCUUUUUUUUCUGCAAAUUUUAAAGAAAAAUUCUGAUGUGGCAUUUAUCGAGCG